UUGCUCAUUCAUAUUGUUUUCACCUUCAACAUCAUCAUCUUCAUCAGUCUGUUCUCUUGAUGAUGAUAUAUUUGCUGAGCUGACCAGAAUUCCAGCCCUUUUUUGCACACAAGGUGAGCAAGAAAUUCCUUUUGAAGAGGAUUGAGAUGUUAAGUGUGAGGCACCGGCUUGAGUGGAACUUGCACAAGAAUCUUGAGUCUUCAUAAAAGAUCCUCGACACAAGGCCACAGCCGCACACGCCAGAUUCAGCUUGCUUUUCAGAAACGCCUGAUACUCAUCGGAAUCCG
rnacentral:misc_RNA from 1 species